UACGUAGGUGGCAAGCGUUGUCCGGAUUUAUUGGGUUUAAAGGGGGCGUAGGCGGCCCUGUAAGUCAGUGCUGAAAUAUCCCGGCUUAACCGGGAGGGUGGCAUUGAUACUGCGGGGCUAGAGUACAGAUGAGGUAGGCGGAAUUGACGGUGUAGCGGUGAAAUGCUUAGAUAUCGUCAAGAACACCUAUAGCGAAGGCAGCUUACUAGGCUGUAACUGACGCUGAGGCACGAAAGUGUGGGGAUCAAACAGG
rnacentral:rRNA from 1 species